AAUCAACGCUGGCGGCGUGCCAACACAUGCAAGUCGAACGCGAAAGCCCGCAAGGGUAAGUAGAGUGGCGCACGGGUGAGUAACACGUGGACAACCUGCCUUCGAGUGGGGAAUAACCUUCCGAAAGGAGGGCUAAUACCGCAUAACACCUCGGGACAUAAGUUUGGGGUUGAAAAGAGCAAUUUGCUCGAAGAGGGGUCCGCGCCUGAUUAGCUAGUUGGUGAGGUAACGGCUCACCAAGGCUCGAUCAGUAGCCGUCCUGAGAGGGAGCACGGCCACACUGGAACUGAGACACGGUCCAGACUCCUACGGGAGGCAGCAGUGGGGAAUUUUGGCAAUGGGCGAAAGCCUGACCAAGCAACGCCGCGUGGGUGAUGAAGUAUCUUGGUACGUAAAACCCUUUCGGCAGGGACGAACCUAAUGACGGUACCUGCGGAAGAAGCCCCGGCUAACUCCGUGCCAGCCGCCGCGGU
rnacentral:rRNA from 1 species